AGCAGCCGCGGUAAUUCCAGCUCCAAUAGCGUAUAUUAAAGUUGUUGCAGUUAAAAAGCUCGUAGUUGAAUUUCAGGCCUGGCUGGGCGGUCCGCCCUUCGGGUGAGUACUGCCUGUGGUCGGGUCCUACCUUCUGGCGAAGCGUCAUGGCCUUAACCGGCCGUGGCGGGGAACCAGGACUUUUACUGUGAAAAAUUAGAGUGUUCAAAGCAGGCAAUCGCUUGGAUACAUUAGCAUGGAAUAAUGGAAUAGGACAAUGGUUCUAUUUGUUGGUUUCUAGGACCGUUGUAAUGAUUAAUAGGGAUAGUUGGGGGCAUUAGUAUUCAAUUGUCAGAGGUGAAAUUCUUGGAUUUAUUGAAGACUAACUACUGCGAAAGCAUUUGCCAAGGAUGUUUUCAUUAAUCAAGAACGAAAGUUAGGGGAUCGAAGACGAUCAGAUACCGUCGUAGU
rnacentral:rRNA from 1 species